UACGUAGGGUGCGAGCGUUAAUCGGAAUUACUGGGCGUAAAGCGUGCGCAGGCGGUCUGUUAAGACCGAUGUGAAAUCCCCGGGCUUAACCUGGGAACUGCAUUGGUGCUGGCGAGGCUUUGAGUGUGGCAGAGGGAGGUAGAAUUCCACGUGUAGCAGUGAAAUGCGAGAGAUGUGGAGAAUACCGAUGGCGAAGGCCAGC
rnacentral:rRNA from 1 species